AUUGAACGCUGGCGGCAUGCCUUACACAUGCAAGUCGAACGGCAGCACGGGUGCUUGCACCUGGUGGCGAGUGGCGAACGGGUGAGUAAUACAUCGGAACAUGUCCUGUAGUGGGGGAUAGCCCGGCGAAAGCCGGAUUAAUACCGCAUACGAUCUACGGAUGAAAGCGGGGGACCUUCGGGCCUCGCGCUAUAGGGUUGGCCGAUGGCUGAUUAGCUAGUUGGUGGGGUAAAGGCCUACCAAGGCGACGAUCAGUAGCUGGUCUGAGAGGACGACCAGCCACACUGGGACUGAGACACGGCCCAGACUCCUACGGGAGGCAGCAGUGGGGAAUUUUGGACAAUGGGCGAAAGCCUGAUCCAGCAAUGCCGAGUGUGUGAAGAAGGCCUUCGGGUUGUAAAGCACGUUUGUCCGGAAAGAAAUCCUUGGCCCUAAUACGGUCGGGGGAUGACGGUACCGGAAGAAUAAGCACCGGCUAACUACGUG
rnacentral:rRNA from 1 species